rnacentral:rRNA from 1 species
GAUGAACGCUAGCUACAGGCUUAACACAUGCAAGUCGAGGGGUAACGAGAGGGAAGCUUGCUUUCCUUGUCGACGACCGGCGCACGGGUGAGUAACGCGUAUCCAACCUGCCCCCAACUAGGGAAUAACCUUGCGAAAGUAAGACUAAUACCCUAUAAUUUCCUCAGAUGUCAUCUGACGAGGAAUAAAGAUUUAUCGGUUGUGGAUGGGGAUGCGUCUGAUUAGCUUGUUGGCGGGGUAACGGCCCACCAAGGCAACGAUCAGUAGGGGUUCUGAGAGGAAGGUCCCCCACAUUGGAACUGGGACACGGUCCAAACUCCUACGGGAGGCAGCAGUGAGGAAUAUUGGUCAAUGGGCGGAAGCCUGAACCAGCCAAGUAGCGUGCAGGAUGACGGCCCUAUGGGUUGUAAACUGCCUUUAUACAGGAAUAAAGUUAGCCACGUGUGGUUAUUUGUAGGUACUGUAUGAAUAAGGACCGGCUAAUUCCGUGCCAGCCGCCGCCGUAA